rnacentral:rRNA from 1 species
GAAUCUGGCCUGAGGUUCGGGACAACCACUGGAAACGGUGGCUAAUACCGAAUGAGCCGAAAGGUGAAAGAUUAAUUGCCUGAGGAUGAGCUCGCGUCUGAUUAGCUAGUUGGUGGGGUAAAGGCCUACCAAGGCGGCGAUCAGUAGCUGGUCUGAGAGGACGAUCAGCCACACUGGGACUGAGACACGGCCCAGACUCCUACGGGAGGCAGCAGUGGGGAAUUUUCCGCAAUGGGCGAAAGCCUGACGGAGCAAUACCGCGUGAGGGAGGAAGGCUCUUGGGUUGUAAACCUCUUUUCUCAGGGAAGAACAAUGACGGUACCUGAGGAAUAAGCAUCGGCUAACUCCGUGCCAGCAGCCGCGGUAAUACGGAGGAUGCAAGCGUUAUCCGGAAUUAUUGGGCGUAAAGCGUCCGCAGGUGGCCAUUCAAGUCUGCUGUCAAAGCCUGGGGCUCAACCCCAGAAAGGCGGUGGAAACUGAGCGGCUAGAGUGCGGUAGGGGCAGAGGGAAUUCCCAGUGUAGCGGUGAAAUGCGUAGAGAUUGGGAAGAACACCGGUGGCGAAAGCGCUCUGCUGGGCCGCAACUGACACUCAUGGACGAAAGCUAGGGGAGCGAAUGGGAUUAGAUACCCCAGUAGUCA